rnacentral:lncRNA from 1 species
GUCAGCUCCAUGCUUCACUACUGAAAGCAUUUACAACUGUUCAUACACUCCUUGUUGUAUUUGCAACACCUGAGUUAGGUGGUGCUGUUAUUUGUUAGCCCAAUUCUAAAGCGGAAGGACAAGAAUCUUUUCUGAUGUUCAUCUCAAUCUAUCCAGUGAAACCAGAGGGUUUUUUUACUUCUAUAGCUCAUUACCAAUCAAUUAAGUUGAUUUGCUGGAAAUAAGAAAAAGGACUACUUUCUGGCUGGAAAUUUGGGUCCCACAAAUUGGUGCAAACUUUCAAUAGCAUCUGGUUGCUGUAAAUGUAGACGAAAAUCAGAUAAUGAAAUGAGGUGCCAAUCUCCUGACUUCCGAGGAUUGGGAUGGAGCCAGGAACAAUUUUUUAAUUCAAUUUUAUUGUAUUUUGGAGAAGUCCGUAUUUUAUUUGUGCUUUAAGCUUGCAUUUUGUCUUAUUGCUGAUGCUGAUCUACAAGGAGGCCUACUUUACAGGAUGGAUCCAAGUGAAAUGUAUGAGCUCUGCUGUUGAGUUGUAUGGGGUUGUAUGCAUGUUCUUGUGAUUUGUAAACAAGUGAGCCCCUAUUUGUCAUUAUGUGAGACUGCUUUCCAUUCAUAAUUUACUAAUUUUAGAAGACAUCACAUCUUGUAAUAAACACUUGUUUGCAAAGCCUUGUUAAGUGUAA